rnacentral:lncRNA from 1 species
AUAUUUGGCAGUUGGGAUCCCUGUGGAUGCAGGUAUAAUAAAUAAUAAUAUUUUCUUUGCUUUCUAGGGCAUUUGUGGCACAAUGAUAAAUUUCAUCUUUCCCAGUAUGAAGUGAUUGGCCCUGUCCUGGUCUAUUCCCCUCAGCUUGGAUCCAUCGCCUGCUCCGGCUGGCUUCUACUGACACUGCCAACAGACAGGGCAAGGAAGUGCGGUCACAGAACAGGAGCAGGAGCAGUUUCAAUGUAAGGAAACGAGGGAAACGGACCUAAUAGCAGUAUGAAUGAUCUUGCGAGUACAGAGCCUUGUAGUCUGCUUUCCUUCCGUUGCUUAUCCUGGUGAGUUUAAUCAAAAACAAACAAAACGCUCUUGUGAAAUAUAGUCAAUAAAGUCAAAGUUUAGCUAGCUGUAUGUAACUACAAAGAAAAAGUCAUUGCAAUUUUUUUUAAAUGUAACUUUCAUUAACAAGCGCGCCGGAAAUCUCAGGUAUCA